CGAAGUAUAGCUUAAUGUAAAGCACCUUGCCUACACCAAGAUGAUGUUCAAUCACACAAACUAUUUCGUG
rnacentral:tRNA from 1 species